rnacentral:rRNA from 1 species
ACCCAACCGCAAGGAGGGAGCUGCCGAAGGCGGGAUUGAUAACUGGGGUGAAGUCGUAACAAGGUAGCCGUAUCGGAAGGUGCGGCUGGAUCACCUCCUUUCUAAGGAA